rnacentral:rRNA from 1 species
GACGAACGCUGGCGGCGUGCUUAACACAUGCAAGUCGAACGGAAAGGCCUGCUUUCCCUUGUGGAUUGCGGGUACUCGAGUGGCGAACGGGUGAGUAACACGUGAGUGAUCUGCCCCCAACUUGGGUAUAAGCCUGGGAAACUGGGUCUAAUUCCCGAUAGGACUGCAGGGUGGUGCCUGUGGUGGAAAACGAUUUUCUAGUGGUUGGGGAUGAGCUCGCGGCCUAUCAGCUUGUUGGUGGGGUAAUGGCCUACCAAGGCGGCGACGGGUAGCCGGCCUGAGAGGGUGGACGGCCACAUUGGGACUGAGAUACGGCCCAGACUCCUACGGGAGGCAGCAGUGGGGAGUAUGGCACAAUGGGCGGAAGCCUGAUGCAGCGACGCCGCGUGGGGGAUGACGGCCUUCGGGUUGUAAACUCCUUUCGACCGCGAGGAAGCCACCUGGUUGGAAGGGUGGUGACGGUAGUGGUAGAAGAAGCACCGGCUAACUACGUG